rnacentral:rRNA from 1 species
GGCAGACGGGUGUAGUAACACGUGGGAACGUGCCCUUUGGUUCGGAACAACUCCGGGAAACUGGAGCUAAUACCGGAUAAGCCCUUCGGGGGAAAGAUUUAUCGCCAAAGGAUCGGCCCGCGUCUGAUUAGCUAGUUGGUGAGGUAAUGGCUCACCAAGGCGACGAUCAGUAGCUGGUCUGAGAGGAUGAUCUAGCCACACUGGGACUGAGACACGGCCCAGACUCCUACGGGAGGCAGCAGUGGGGAAUAUUGGACAAUGGGCGCAAGCCUGAUCCAGCCAUGCCGCGUGAGUGAUGAAGGCCCUAGGGUUGUAAAGCUCUUUUGUCCGGGAAGAUAAUGACUGUACCGGAAGAAUAAGCCCCGGCUAACUACGUGCC